rnacentral:rRNA from 1 species
UACGGAGGAUGCAAGCGUUAUCCGGAAUCAUUGGGCGUAAAGGGUCCUGAGGUGGUUUGCUAAGUCUACUGUGAAAGAUCAGGGCUCAACCCUGAAAAUGCGGUGGAAACUGGCAGGCUAGAAUACGGUAGGGGCAGGGGGAAUUCCCGGUGUAGCGGUGAAAUGCAUAGAUAUCGGGAAGAACACUUAGGGCGAAAGCAAGACUCUGGACAAGUGUUGACGCUCAUGCACGAAGGCUAGGGUAGCGAACGGG